UAAACUAUAUAAAUUUUCAUGGUUAGGAAACCUAAAUUAUGUUGUUUCAUUUCAGUUCCUCGUAAUAGGCAAAGAUCGCCUACUUAGAAGAAACACAAAAAGGAAGUCGGUGUAAGAUGCAGGUCAGAAGACCUAUGCAGGAAAGAAUGCUUGAGCAAUGCUUUACUGUGAUUGGAUGCUGUUUGCUCAUAUUGAAAAGUCUUUUGAGGCCAUGCCUUUUGUAUCAAGACUACACCUUUUGUUGGAAUGAUGCAAUGUAUAUAUUUGUUAGAUACACUUGUAGUAUGGGCUACCCAUAGUAAACAAUGGGGUUUGGUAUAUGUAAAUUAAUGUUGUACAAGUUUCUUUUGUGAAACAAAACAUAUUUUGUUAACUUAAUAGUCACAAUGUUUAAUACAGGAUGUACUCUUUAUAA